rfam:Ipomoea nil DNA, scaffold: scaffold0224, cultivar: Tokyo-kokei standard.
CAGCGACCCAGCCAACGCGGUUACCCGCUGAUUUAAGCAUAUCAAUAGCGAGGAGGAAAUGACAACUACAAGAUUCCUCCUAGUAACGGCGAGCGACCAACCGGGAACAGCCCAGCCUUAGAAUCGACGGCCCGCCGUUCGAAUUGUAGUCUUGGAGAAGCGUCCUCAGCGGCGGACCGGGCCAAUCCCCUGGAAAGGGCGCGGAGAGCGGUGAAGGCCCGGCUCGUGCCCGGACGCUGUCGCACGCAGCGAAGGCGCUGUUAAACGAGUCGCGGUUGUUUGGGAAUGCACCCCAUCGGCAGGUAAUUCCGUCCAAGGCAAAAUGACCGGCGACGAGACUUCGAUAGCCGAAAAGACGCCGAGGCGAAAAUGAAAGACUUUAAAGAGAGUCAAAGUGCUUAAAUUGCGGGAGGAAGCGGAUGGACUGCGAUCUCCGCGGAGUAUGUGGAGUGAGAUGCAGGUCCUUGCCUGAUCUAUCGGGGCUGCGGUACCAGCAAGGCAUUCGGGGGGCGGGCCAAAGCGGGCCUUUGAUACGCCGCGCGAACGUCGUCCUGUGGAUCGUGGAAGCAGCGCCGCCCCUGGGCGUGCCUCUGGCACCUGCGCGCACGCGGUCGUGCGCCUGUUGGUCUCCAUUCGAGCCCGUUUUAAACACGCGACAAGAGUCUGACAUCGUUGCGACGUCAACGGCGCAGUAACACCGUAAGGCGCAAGGAAGCUGAUUGGCAGGGGGAUCCCCCCUCACUGGGGGUGCACGGCUCGCGACCGACCUUGAUACUUCGUGAGAAGUGUCGAUUGUGCGAGCAUACCGUCGGGACCGAAAGAUGGUGAACUAUGGCGCUGAGCGAGGCGAAGCCAGGAAGGAAACUCGGUGGAGCCCCAGCCGAUACGUUGACGUGGCCAAAAUCUUUCGUCUGAUCUUGGGUAUAGGAGGGUAAGCGACUAAUCAACCGGUCUAGUAGCUCGGUUCCCUCCGGAAGUUUCCCUCAGGAUAGCUGGAGCUGGCGCGAGAGUUCUAUCGGGUAAAGCCAAUGAGUAGAGGAUCGGGGCGUAAACGCCCUCGACCUAUUCUCAAACUUUUAAAUAGUUAGUGGACGGCGCGCUGCUUCGUUGAGCCGCGCCACGGAAUCAACAGCCUCCAAGUGGCCAUUUUUCGUAAGCAGAACUGGCGAUGCGGGAUUGAACCGGAAGCCGGGUUACGGUGCCAACUGCCGCGCUACACCUAGAUCCCACAAAGUGUGUCGAUUUAAGCCAGCAGGUACGGGUCAUGGAGUCGAAAUCGCUAUAGGAGUGUUGUAACAACUCACCUGCGAAUCAACUAGCCCGGAAAAUGGAUGGCGCUUAAGCGCCCGCGAGCCUAUACCCGCCGUCGGGCAAGAGCUUAGGCCCGAAUGAGUAGGAGGGCGCGGCUGGUCGCCUGCAAAACCUUGGGCGAGCCCGGGCGAGCGGCCGUCGGUGCAGAUCUUGUCGUGUAUAGAAAUAAUUCAAAUGAGAACUUUGAAUGCCGAAGAGGGGAAGUUCUGUGAACGCACUUGCACAUGGCGUUAGUCGGAUCCUAAGGGUCGGGGGCAAGCCGACAGAAGCGCGUUUGCGGCGUGACGCCGAAAGGGAAUCGGCCGUUAACAAUUCCUGAACGCGGAACGUGCGGAUGACGCAACGUUACGGAUUCCGGAGACUCGGCGGGGGCUCGGAAAGUUAUCUUUUCUGUUUAACAGCCUGCCCACCCUGGAAACGGCCUCGAGCCGACGGUAGGUCCAGCGGCGCUGGAAGAGCACCCACGUCGCGUGGCGGCCGGUGCGCCCCGGCGGCCUGCUUGAAAAUCCGGAGGACCCGAGUGCCGUCCACCGCCCGGUCGCUACUCAUAACCAGCAUCAGGUCUCACCAGGAACAGCCUCUCGCCAAUGGAACAAUGUAGGCAAGGGAAUGGCCAAAAGGAUCCGUAACUUCGGGAAAAGGAUUGGCGUCUGAGCGCUGGCACGGGGGGGUCCAGUCCGAACCUCGGCUGUUCGCGGCUGCCGAGCUGCGAACCGCGGCGAGACGGGUCCCGCUGUGCGCGGCCGGGACGGACUGGACGGCUCUUUCUGGGGGCCUUCCCGCGGCGUCGAACAGCCAACUCAGAACUGUACGGACCAAGGGCGAAUCCGACUUGUUAAUUAAAACAAAGCUUGCGAUCGUCCCUGCGGGAUGCUAACGCAAUGUGAGUUUCUGCCCAGUGCUCUGAAGUCAAAGUGCAAGCAAUUCACCAACAGCGGCGAUAAACGCGUGGUAUGUAACUACUGACUCAUCUUAAUGGUAGCCAAAUGCCUCGUCAUCUAAAUUCUGACGCGCAUGAAUGGAUUAACGAGAUCCCACUGUUCCCUGGCUACAUCCAGCGGAAACCAAGCGUAAGGAACGGGCUUGCAGAAUCAGCGGGGGAAAAGAAGACCCUGUUGGCUUGACUCGUAGUCCGACUUUUUGUGAAAUGACUUGAGAGGUGUAGAUAAUUGGGGGGGCGGAGCCGAAGAUGGCUCGAAAUGUGAAAAUACCACUACUUUUAACGUUAUUUUACUAUUCCGUGAACGUAUGGGAUUGCCCCUCUUUUGCGACCCAAGGCUCGCUUGCGGGCCGAUCCGGCGCCGAAGACAUGUCAGGUGGGUUUGCUGGGGCGGCACAUCUGUUAAAAGAGUAACGCAGUUGUUGUCCAAGAUGAGCUCAACGAGAACAGAAAAUCUCGUAGUGCGAACAGGUAGAGGUAAAAGCUCUUUGAUCUUGCAUUGUCCAGUACGAUUAUUACGAACCGUGAAAGCGUGCCUAACGAUCCUUUAACCUUCGGAAUCGAAGCUAGAAGUGUCAAAAUAUCACUAUGUAUAUCUGGCUUGCAGCAAGCAUGUUCAUAGCGACUUGCUUUUUAUCCUUUGAUGUCGCUUUCCUAUCAUUGUGAGCAGAAUUCACCAAGUGUUGGAUUUUCACCCACCAAUAGGACGUGAGCUGCGGUUUAGUACCGUCGUGAGAAACAGCGUAGUUAUUACCCUUUACUAUGACUAGUGUCGCCAAUUAGUAAUCAUAUCUAAUACAAGAACCUUGAUCGCCAUAGGUUGUCAUCGCGUUGUUGAAAAGCAGUGGCCGGCGAAGCUACCGUGCGUAUGCGAUUAUGACUGAACGCCUCUAAGUCAGAAUCCGGCUAUAGACCGACGUCAUGCGCUCGUCGCCCGUUUGCCGACACCGCAUAGGGCCAUUGGCCCCAAGGGCACGUGCUCGUUGGCUCAAGCCGUCUCCGAAGGGUGCCGGUGGCGCUCUUGAUACAAUUCCGCAUCGAGCGGCGAGCUAAUCCUUUGCCAGACGACCUUAAAUACGCGACGUUGCGGGUAUGUAAGGGCUAGAGUGGCCUUGCUGCCACGAUCCUCUGAGAUUCAGCCUUCCUGUCCUCCGAUUCG